AUGCCUGUGAAUGAGAGGGAGCGGCAUGGAAGCAAAACUGUCUUUAAGGAUAUUACUAGACGUUUUAGACGCUCCAGUCUUUGCUGCAUUUGUGUUAAAUGUUUUGCCAAGUCACAAAUCCAAGUUAAGAAGAAUUUUCUGAUACCAAGGAUUGAGAUAACACAUCUCAGUUUGGACCAGCCACAUGUUAAAUGCUCAACAUCCUCCCAGGGCUCGUGCCUACUGGACUGGGCAAUGCAGCUUUACCAACACGUGAUGUCCAAUCACACAGGCAAGGAAACAGGCUUUACAAGUUUAAGUGACUUGCCCAAAGUCACGGAAGCUUGUGAGCAUAUCAAAGCUAGGAUGCCUGCCCCUGAGGCCUGUUUGCAGUGCCAGCAAAGGAGGACAAUGAUUCUGGAUCGAUGAUAAAUGAAUAAAGCAAGUCCUAUAUUGGUCCUAGUUUAUAACCUUCGGAGAAUUUCCAGGCCAUGGUGUGUGGAGGUGGAACCAAGGUGGAGCCUUGCAGGCUGCCUGAUUUGAGGAGAUGGAGCUGAAAGUCCAGGGGGAUAAGACAGCUAGAGUAAGCAGAAGAGAGUAUCUGAAGGAGUGAUGUAGAUAUACAACUCCAAAGAUCUGAAGGGGGUCCCCUUGUAUGUUAAUCUGAGUAACGACCAGCAUAUGCAUGUGAGCAAAGAACCACAUGAACGGAUUAAAAGUGACAGGGCCCACACUCACACAGGAAUGGAGACAGGUCUGUCUGUACCUAUGAGACUGGAAAACCUCACGAUUCAAAGCGGAUUGGGUAGAGCACAUAGGAUGAUCUUUUCCCAGCAAUGGGGAAUACUUUGUCUUAGAAUACUGUUUUGGUCUGACCUAACAAAUUUUAAAAGGGACUCCCAAAGGAUCAAACUUUUCCCAAAUAACUUUACUUUGUCCUAGAACAAAGCUCAAGAAUAUUUACAAAAAUACAAAAAUAUUUAGUAUAAAUUCACAGUGUAAAAGUAAAAUGCAUAAUGUCUGACACUCAAUCAAAGAAUAUGAGGACUGAAAGGAUGCAAGAAAAAUACAACCUGUAAUAAGGAGAAACACUGAUUAACUGAAACUGAUGUAGAAAGGAUACAUAUGUUAGAAGUACCAGUCAGGACAUAAAAAGUUACUAUAUCUGUAUUCCAUAUAGUUAUACACUUAUAAUGCGACAUAGAAGAUAUAAAAAAGAUCCACCUAGAACUUCUAGGGAUAAAGACUGCAAUGUCUGAGAUGUAAAGUGUACUGGAUAGGACAAGUGGCAGAAGAAAUAUUGGAGAAGAGAGGACUAGUGAACUAGAAGAAACAGCUAUGAAAACUAUCAAAAA
rnacentral:lncRNA from 1 species